rnacentral:rRNA from 1 species
GAUGAACGCUGGCGGCGUGCCUAAUACAUGCAAGUCGAGCGAACAGACGAGGAGCUUGCUCCUCUGACGUUAGCGGCGGACGGGUGAGUAACACGUGGAUAACCUACCUAUAAGACUGGGAUAACUUCGGGAAACCGGAGCUAAUACCGGAUAAUAUAUUGAACCGCAUGGUUCAAUAGUGAAAGACGGUUUUGCUGUCACUUAUAGAUGGAUCCGCGCCGCAUUAGCUAGUUGGUAAGGUAACGGCUUACCAAGGCAACGAUGCGUAGCCGACCUGAGAGGGUGAUCGGCCACACUGGAACUGAGACACGGUCCAGACUCCUACGGGAGGCAGCAGUAGGGAAUCUUCCGCAAUGGGCGAAAGCCUGACGGAGCAACGCCGCGUGAGUGAUGAAGGUCGUCGGAUCGUAAAACUCUGUUAUUAGGGAAGAACAAAUGUGUAAGUAACUAUGCACGUCGUGACGGUACCUAAUCAGAAAGCCGGCUAACUACGUG